rnacentral:rRNA from 1 species
UACGUAGGGCGCGAGCGUUGUCCGGAAUUAUUGGGCGUAAAGAGCUCGUAGGCGGCCUGUUGCGUCCGCUGUGAAAUCCCGGGGCUCAACCCCGGGCUUGCAGUGGAUACGGGCUGGCUAGAGGCAGGCAGGGGAGAACGGAAUUCCCGGUGUAGCGGUGAAAUGCGCAGAUAUCGGGAGGAACACCGGUGGCGAAGGCGGUUCUCUGGGCCGUUACUGACGCUGAGGAGCGAAAGCGUGGGGAGCGAACAGG